UAGGACUAUUAAAGGUUUAUGUUGUUGAUAAUGGAUGCUGGAAGAAGUCUAGAAAGAGUUCAGAACAACUUCAUAACAAUAGUCUACAGCAGACACAAGUUAUUGAACAGCAUCAAGACCCAGAUCAUCUACAGUAUGUCGCUGUGGAUUUUUCUAAACUGCGUAAAAAUAAUCGUCCCAGUCAAGAAAACAGCACAUAUGCUGCUUUAAAGCUGCCAAGAUCAAAAUUAAUGUGAAUGAUCUCAUAUUCAUCUUGUACAGUAGAGGAUUAUUAAAUGGUCCAGGAUUGUUUCACAUAAUUUAUUAAAAUGGUCUGUUUUAGAUUUCUUACAUUCAUUAAAAGUAUUUAAAACCGUUAAACUUUUUAUAUGAUUAAUGACUUAUCAAGCAAACCUGGUAUGAAGUAACAUUUCAGUCAUUAGUAUUUUUAAUAAAUUUUUAAAGUUUCUGUUGUCAAUGCAACUUGGAAAUGUUAUGCAACAAUUAUCCACAAACUGCUGACGGAUUUAGCUCAUAAAACAAUAACCACAUUACAUUGUAACAACAUUAAAAAUACAAAUAUAA